GUGCCAGCAGCCGCGGUAAUACAUAGGGGUCAAGCGUUGUCCGGAUUUAUUGGGCGUAACAGAGCUCGUAGGCGGUUCAACAAGUCGGUCGUAAAAGUUUAGGGCUCAACCCUAAAAUGUCGAUCGAUACUGUUGUGACUAGGAUACGGUAGAGGUGAAUGGAAUUCCGAGUGUAGCGGUGAAAUGCGUAGAUAUUCGGAGGAACACCAAUUGCGAAGGCAGUUCACUGGACCGUAAUCGACGCUGCAGAGCGAAAGCUAGGGGAGCAACAACGAUUAAAUA
rnacentral:rRNA from 1 species